rnacentral:rRNA from 1 species
GAGUUUGAUCGUGGCUCAGAACGAACGCUGGCGGCAGGCUUAACACAUGCAAGUCGAACGCUCGUAGCAAUACGGGAGUGGCGGACGGGUGAGUAACGCGUGGGAACGUACCCUUAGGUUCGGAAUAACUGCGGGAAACUGCAGCUAAUACCGGAUGUGCCCGGCAACGGGGAAAGAUUUAUCGCCUUGGGAGCGGCCCGCGUCGGAUUAGCUAGUUGGUGGGGUAACGGCCUACCAAGGCUUCGAUCCGUAGCUGGUCUGAGAGGACGAUCAGCCACACUGGGACUGAGACACGGCCCAGACUCCUACGGGAGGCAGCAGUGGGGAAUCUUGCGCAAUGGGGGCAACCCUGACGCAGCCAUGCCGCGUGAACGAUGAAGGCCUUAGGGUUGUAAAGUUCUUUUGCCCGUGACGAUGAUGACGGUAACGGGAGAAUAAGCUCCGGCUAACUUCGUGCCAGCAGCCGCCGU